rnacentral:rRNA from 1 species
AUUGAACGCUGGCGGCAUGCUUUACACAUGCAAGUCGAACGGUAACAGGCCGCAAGGUGCUGACGAGUGGCGAACGGGUGAGUAAUGCAUCGGAACGUGCCCAGUCGUGGGGGAUAACUACUCGAAAGAGUAGCUAAUACCGCAUACGAUCUAUGGAUGAAAGCGGGGGACCGUAAGGCCUCGCGCGAUUGGAGCGGCCGAUGUCAGAUUAGGUAGUUGGUGGGGUAAAGGCUCACCAAGCCAACGAUCUGUAGCUGGUCUGAGAGGACGACCAGCCACACUGGGACUGAGACACGGCCCAGACUCCUACGGGAGGCAGCAGUGGGGAAUUUUGGACAAUGGGCGCAAGCCUGAUCCAGCAAUGCCGCGUGCAGGAAGAAGGCCUUCGGGUUGUAAACUGCUUUUGUACGGAACGAAACGGCUCUGGUUAAUACCCGGGGCUAAUGACGGUACCGUAAGAAUAAGCCCCGGCUAACUACGUG